rnacentral:rRNA from 1 species
GAUGAACGCUGCCAGAAUGCUUAACACAUGCAAGUCUUUGGCGAAUCUGUGCUUGCACCGGCUAGCCAAGGCGGACGGGUGAGUAACGCGUAAAGAACUUGCCCUGCAGACAGGGAUAAAAGACGGAAACGACUGAUAACACCUGAUACAGUUGCCGGCACGCAUGUGCCCGGCAAAGAAAAGAGAUGCUGCAGGAGAGCUUUGCGUCCUAUUAGCUUGUUGGUGAGGUGACGGCUCACCAAGGCGAUGAUAGGUAGCCGGCCUGAGAGGGUGAACGGCCACAAGGGGACUGAGAUACGGCCCUUACUCCUACGGGAGGCAGCAGUGGGGAAUAUUGGACAAUGGGGGCAACCCUGAUCCAGCAAUUCUGUGUGCACGAAGAAGGUUUUCGGAUUGUAAAGUGCUUUCAGCAGGGAAGAAGAAAGUGACGGUACCUGCAGAAGAAGCGACGGCUAAAUACGUG